rnacentral:misc_RNA from 1 species
AAGAUUUUAUCCAUAAUUUCAAUGACAGAAGAUGGUUCUUGAAAAUUUUGUUGCAUGUUACUCCAACUGCAAGCUAUACAGCAAAAAUCAUGCAUCAGCCAAUAAUAUAUUGUGCUUGUAGUUUAUGUGGCAUACAUCAGCCAAUAAGUGCAUGGCUAAUUGAGAAGAGCAAAUGAAAGAAAGACAAGAAGAGCACAGUGGAACCUCAUAUUCCUUUUUUCUGAUCUUGUUUGUGAGUUUGGCUUUUUUUUUUGGGGGGGGCUAAUCAUAUUGUUCAAUAAUGAAUAUUGUACUUAGCCACAACGACACACAGUAAUAUAUCUGCAUAUUCCCAGUUUCUAAUUUGUUAGAUGCAUUCUUAUGUUUGCAGUCCUAUUCUCUAAAGUCAGACUAUUUGUGUAAUUGUUUGAAUAUUUUCUUAAUUUCUACAGACCAGUGGGAAACAAUAAGACUGUUAAUAAAUAAUAAAAAGACCA